rfam:Octopus bimaculoides Scaffold56920_contig_51, whole genome shotgun sequence.
CUAGUUUUGGCAGUAGAUAUUCUAAAAUUGGAAUGAUACAGAGAAGAUUAGCAUGGCCCCUGUGCAAGGACGACAUGCAAAUUUGUGAAGCAUUCCAUAUUUUU